GACGAACGCUGGCGGCGUGCUUAACACAUGCAAGUCGAACGGAAAGGCCCUGCUUUUGUGGGGUGCUCGAGUGGCGAACGGGUGAGUAACACGUGAGUAACCUGCCCUUGACUUUGGGAUAACUUCAGGAAACUGGGGCUAAUACCGGAUAGGAGCUCCUGCUGCAUGGUGGGGGUUGGAAAGUUUCGGCGGUUGGGGAAGGACGUGCGGCUUAUCAGCUUGUUGGUGGGGUAGUGGCUUACCAAGGCCUUGACGGGUAGCCGGCCUGGGAGGGUGACCGGCCACAGUGGGACUGAGGAGGGGGCCAGACUGCUACGGGGGGCAGGAGUGGGGAAUAUUGCACGAUGGGCGGAGGCCGUAUGCAGCGACGCCGCGUGCGAGAUGACGGCCUUCGGGUUGUAAACAGCUUUCGCCUGUGACGAAGCGUGAGUGACGGUAAUGGGUAAAGAAGCACCGGCUAACUACGUG
rnacentral:rRNA from 1 species